rnacentral:rRNA from 1 species
AAUAGUUAAGGUCUUUAAACCCAAAGAAUUUGGCGGUAUCUUAUUCCAUUCAGAGGAACCUAUCCCGUAAUUGAUAAUACACGAUUAACUUUACUUAAUUUAUUUGUUUGUAUAUCUCCGUUAUCAGAAAAUCUUUUUGAAGUUAUAAUUUUCGUAAUUUAUAAUUGUAAAGUAUUUCAGGUCAAGGUGCAGCUUAUAAUUAAGAGGAGAUGGGUUACAAUAAAUUUUUGUUUAUUAUGGAUUUAAUGGUGAAUUUCUUUUAAUGAAGGUGGAUUUGAUGGUAAUUUGAUUUAUUUAAUUUAAUUGAUAUUGGCUCUGAGGUGUGUACACAU